rnacentral:lncRNA from 1 species
CAAGCCCUGGGCUGUGUGCUUCCCAAGCUGAGGCGGGCAGGGGAGCCGGACCAGGGAGGACAGUGGCCCCUGCAUCUGGCCUGCUGCUCCCCAGGUACAUGGCUGAAGCUGUCCAGCUGCAGAGAGUGGUGGGGCCUGACUGGACAUCCAUGCCGAACCUGCACCCUCCAAUGUCCCCCUCUGCUCUCAACCCCCCAGCCCCAACCUCUGGGUCCCUACAAAGCAGGGAAGGGUCCCCCGGGGCGUGGUGAGGCUGCAGCUCUCCAGGAGUUCCACACGGGCCCAGUGCUGCCCCUGCUGCCGCAGGAGCCCCCAGGCGAGGUUCGGCCUUCCUCUCGCCCCUGUGCACCCGGAGAUGCCCACAGCACCAGCACCUGAGCUCACCUCCGAACCCACCUCCUGAACCCACCUCCAGACUCACCUCCUGAUUCCACCUCCCGAAUCCACCUUCUGAUUCUGCCUCCUGAACCCGCCUCCUGAACCUGCCUCCUUACCUCCCACUUCCUGAGCCCUGAGUGGAAGUCUUUCUGUGCCCUGCCCUUUGCCCACUCCCCUGGUGGGACUGCCAAGACCCUCAAUGCCCA